UGCAGUCGAGCGGUACAGAGAGAAGCUUGCUUUCUUUGCUGACGAGCGGCGGACGGGUGAGUAAUGCCUGGGAAUAUGCCUUGAUGUGGGGGAUAACCAUUGGAAACGAUGGCUAAUACCGCAUAAUGCCUACGGGCCAAAGAGGGGGAUCUUCGGACCUCUCGCGUCAAGAUUAGCCCAGGUGGGAUUAGCUAGUUGGUGAGGUAAUGGCUCACCAAGGCGACGAUCCCUAGCUGGUCUGAGAGGAUGAUCAGCCACACUGGAACUGAGACACGGUCCAGACUCCUACGGGAGGCAGCAGUGGGGAAUAUUGCACAAUGGGCGCAAGCCUGAUGCAGCCAUGCCGCGUGUGUGAAGAAGGCCUUCGGGUUGUAAAGCACUUUCAGUCGUGAGGAAGGUAGUUGCGUUAAUAGCGUAAUUAUUUGACGUUAGCGACAGAAGAAGCACCGGCUAACUCCGUGCCAGCAGCCGCGGUAAUACGGAGGGUGCGAGCGUUAAUCGGAAUUACUGGGCGUAAAGCGCAUGCAGGUGGUUUGUUAAGUCAGAUGUGAAAGCCCGGGGCUCAACCUCGGAAUUGCAUUUGAAACUGGCAGACUAGAGUACUGUAGAGGGGGGUAGAAUUUCAGGUGUAGCGGUGAAAUGCGUAGAGAUCUGAAGGAAUACCGGUGGCGAAGGCGGCCCCCUGGACAGAUACUGACACUCAGAUGCGAAAGCGUGGGGAGCAAACAGGAUUAGAUACCCUGGUAGUCCACGCCGUAAACGAUGUCUACUUGGAGGUUGUGGCCUUGAGCCGUGGCUUUCGGAGCUAACGCGUUAAGUAGACCGCCUGGGGAGUACGGUCGCAAGAUUAAAACUCAAAUGAAUUGACGGGGGCCCGCACAAGCGGUGGAGCAUGUGGUUUAAUUCGAUGCAACGCGAAGAACCUUACCUACUCUUGACAUCCAGAGAAGCCAGCGGAGACGCAGGUGUGCCUUCGGGAACUCUGAGACAGGUGCUGCAUGGCUGUCGUCAGCUCGUGUUGUGAAAUGUUGGGUUAAGUCCCGCAACGAGCGCAACCCUUAUCCUUGUUUGCCAGCGAGUAAUGUCGGGAACUCCAGGGAGACUGCCGGUGAUAAACCGGAGGAAGGUGGGGACGACGUCAAGUCAUCAUGGCCCUUACGAGUAGGGCUACACACGUGCUACAAUGGCGCAUACAGAGGGCUGCCAACCAGCGAUGGUGAGCGAAUCCCAAAAAGUGCGUCGUAGUCCGGAUUGGAGUCUGCAACUCGACUCCAUGAAGUCGGAAUCGCUAGUAAUCGUAGAUCAGAAUGCCACGGUGAAUACGUUCCCGGGCCUUGUACACACCGCCCGUCACACCAUGGGAGUGGGCUGCAAAAGAAGUGGGUAGUUAACCUUUCGAGGA
rnacentral:rRNA from 1 species